GGGCGCCUGGCGAAGGAGGGGGGGGGUUUCCAGAAAUGGGCUUCCCUUUGUUUUGUGUAACGACGGAUGUUGCCACCAAAGGCG
rnacentral:ribozyme from 16 species